UACGUAGGUCCCGAGCGUUGUCCGGAUUUAUUGGGCGUAAAGCGAGCGCAGGUGGUUUAUUAAGUCUGGUGUAAAAGGCAGUGGCUCAACCAUUGUAUGCAUUGGAAACGGGUAGACUUGAGUGCAGGAGAGGAGAGUGGAAUUCCAUGUGUAGCGGUGAAAUGCGUAGAUAUAUGGAGGAACACCGGUGGCGAAAGCGGCUCUCUGGCCUGUAACUGACACUGAGGCUCGAAAGCGUGGGGAGCAAACAGG
rnacentral:rRNA from 1 species